rnacentral:tmRNA from 1 species
CAGGUUUAUAUCCAUUACAAAUAGACUUAUAUUCGUGCUGCCGGCUUGCCGGCUAUAGCGCUAAACGGUUUGCGGAAUAAGCGUUGCGGACCCGGGGGCGGUACCCGGCGCCUCCACCAGUUUUGUGGCUUUCAAUACAUCACUGGGGUAUUUUUGGGGGCGAAACAGGAUCGACGCGCGUGGUAAAGGCAGACUUUGUGCUCGGCAUGGUACCACCGUUAUCGGGCUAUAGUCGUUAAAUGCCAACGACAACUUUGCGGGCGAAGCCCGCCUCGCUGCUUAACUUAGGUUAGGUAAGCGCGGUUCGGGGGGCACCGGGCAACAGAAGCCCCCCACU